CCUACGGGUGGCUGCAGUGGGGAAUAUUGGACAAUGGGGGCAACCCUGAUCCAGCCAUGCCGCGUGUGUGAAGAAGGCCCUCGGGUUGUAAAGCACUUUCAGUGAGGAAGAACGCCUGGUGGUUAAUACCCAUCAGGAAAGACAUCACUCACAGAAGAAGCACCGGCUAACUCCGUGCCAGCAGCCGCGGUAAUACGGAGGGUGCGAGCGUUAAUCGGAAUUACUGGGCGUAAAGCGCGCGUAGGUGGCUUGAUAAGCCGGUUGUGAAAGCCCCGGGCUCAACCUGGGAACGGCAUCCGGAACUGUCAAGCUAGAGUGCAGGAGAGGAAGGUAGAAUUCCCGGUGUAGCGGUGAAAUGCGUAGAGAUCGGGAGGAAUACCAGUGGCGACGGCGGCCUUCUGGACUGACACUGACACUGAGGUGCGAAAGCGUGGGUAGCAAACAGGAUUAGAUACCCUAGUAGUC
rnacentral:rRNA from 1 species